GUAUCCUUAGUAUAGUGAUUAGUACAGUUAUCAUGGACAUAAGAGAUGUGAGUUCAAUUCCCACAGGACACA